rnacentral:rRNA from 1 species
UACGGAGGGGGCUAGCGUUGCUCGGAAUCACUGGGCGUAAAGGGUGCGUAGGCGGGUUUUUAAGUCAGAGGUGAAAUCCUGGAGCUCAACUCCAGAACUGCCUUUGAUACUGGGAAUCUUGAGUAUGGAAGAGGUGAGUGGAACUGCGAGUGUAGAGGUGAAAUUCGUAGAUAUUCGCAAGAACACCAGUGGCGAAGGCGGCUCACUGGUCCAUAACUGACGCUGAGGCACGAAAGCGUGGGGAGCAAACAGG